CGGGUGCGGCGGUGGAGGGCGGGGCGGCCGAUCUCGGCGCUCGCUCGCUGUUGAGGAUUUUCCUCCCUCCUCUCGCCAACCUGCCCUUCAGCCAUUAGAUGGAUUUCAGUCCUGUCAUUUAAUUGCACCUGAAAUAAGAAGAAAAUGAGAAAAACAAACCUUUUGGACCCUUUGUUAGAGUAAGAACUGAGCUAAUAUCUGCAGUUCACUGAUUAAACUGUAUUUAUGUGGUUUAGGCAAAACCUUUUUAUUUUCUGGAUGUGUUUUACUACGUUCCAGCUGUAGGAAUGAUGAAUUAAUGCAAACUCUAGUCUUUUUUUGAUUGAAACAUCACAAAUAUUUCCCUUGUUGAGGACUUUAUAACAUUGGAACGCGCAGCAUUUUUGAAACUUUAAUAUCUUAGUGUAAUAAGUGAUGGUCAAAAUUGUUAAUGUUGAACAAAUCGAGUAGGAUUCAAUUGUAUUAUGCAUAUUAUUGUAAGCAGUAACUGUGUUCGUGUAAGUUUGAUUAUGUUUUGUAGAACCUUGUAGUAGUAGUUAAAGACAAUGCCAUAAAUAACAGGACUACCAGGUGGUGCCAUAAAUAACAGGACUACUGGAUGGUGUCAUAAAUAACAGGACUCCCGGAUGGUACCACAGAUAAUAGGACUCCCAGAUGGUGUUACAGAUAACAAAGCGCCCGGAUGUUGCAACAGAUAACAAAAGUUCCAGAGACGGAAAUUCCCAGCACGUAAACGAAUGCACAACGUAUAUAAGCACAUACGAAAGGUUGAUUUGGUGUGCCUGUUGGCGGAACUGAGCUUCCCCCGGUCACCCAGCGCUGUUUUGCCUAAUUACCGCUUGCUAAAUAAAUUCGAUUGAUUGACUCAGAAUCGAUUUAUUGGCUCUUAUUUAUAACAAAUUUUGGUGCUGUGACUCGGAUUAAGGAUCUCUGGGAGGGACUCCUAAACUUCAGGGAGGCGCCCCGUCCCGUUUUCAGACGGCCCUGGAGUGGACGGAGGAUCGCCCUGAAACCUUAACCUCCGAACCCUAAAUUUAGGUAAUUAGGCAAAAGAAUUGAACCCUGUAAACCUUUGUGCACGAAGAACUGGACGAAGACCCCGGGGAGGGUAAGUAUAGAAAGCAAUUCCGUUCGGUUGGGGUGGGUAUCCUGGAGUGUGCAUGAACGAGACGCCCCCCCCCCCCGCUUGGGGAGGAAGCGAAGUGAGUGUGGACCCUGCCGUAAGGCAGGGCGGGACUCUCUAGUAGUGCGGUUCUCAUAGCCCGCGAGGGCGUGAGCCAUGAACGAGGGGUGCGUGUGUGUGUGUGAAAAGGAGACACUCCGGAAGAUGGGACAGAAGAAGGGCAAGCCUUCUGAUCUCAUGGGGAAGGGACCCACGGAGAGGUCUAGCACGCGAAACAAAAAUAGGGAAAAGAUGGUUUACUAUUGCAUGCAUGUCUGGGGAAACCAGCAGAUUAGACCAGAUCAUUUAUUUUGGCCAAUUUUUGGGUCAUAUGAGAAUUGGAUUUGUCAGGCCCUAAAUCUUUACCAACGGCACCAACAAGGGCCGGGUGCUGACAUUAAGUGGCCCCAGCAGCGCCCUAACUGGGAUAAUCAAAACCCGGAACACAGGGGCCAUAUGGGAGAUCUUUGCACUAUAAUCGUCCAAGGGAUUAAGGAAUCUGUCCCUCGAGGGCAGAACAUAAAUAAAGCCUUUAAUGAACAACAAAAGAAAGAUGAAACUCCCACAGAAUGGUUAGAAAGACUAAGAAAGAGCUUGCAGCUUUAUUCUGGGAUAGACCCUAUGACACCAGUCGGGCAAGCCCUUUUUAAAAACACAGUUUGUGGCGAAGUCAUGGCCGGAUAUUAGAAAGAAGUUAGAAAAGUUGGAAGAUUGGCAAGAGAAAGGGUUGGAUGAGUUGCUAAGGGAAGCACAGAAGGUUUAUGUGAGAAGGGAGGAAGAGACUCAGAAGAGGCAAGCUAAGUCAAGUCGGACUGAAGGACUUGAAGGAAAUCGAAUGUUUUUACUGUCAGAGGAAGGGACAUAUGCGAAGGAGUUGUAGGAAACGUAUACAGGAUGAGAAAAUGUAUUAUGCUGAGUAGGGGUGUCAGGGGCUCUAUCUGCUGGGGACUCCUAAAACAACAGAGCCCUUGAUAAAAUUAAAGUUAGGUCCCCAGUGCCAGGAAAUGGAAUUCCUGGUAAGAUUCGGGGGCAGAAAGAUCUAUUGUCCAAACUGCCCCGGGGAUGUGCUCCAUCUUUGGAGAAAAGAGAAGUACUAGGAGCAAAAGGAGACCCCUUUUCUGUACUAGUAAUUAAAGGGGUAGAAAUAGAAUCCCCAUCCCGAAUAGGGAUAGGGUCCCUUUUAUUAGUGCCUGAAGCUGAAUAUAACCUAUUAGGAAGGGAUUUAAUGGUCGAAUUGGGAAUUAGUUUAGAAAUAAAAGAUCGGGAAUUGAAAGUAAAACUAUACCAAGGUAAGAGAGGAUUUAGAAGAAGAAGAGUUUUUAUGUGGAUCAUCACGGGUAGUGGACGGGAAAAGGAAGUCAGGAUACGCUAUAAUAGAUGGAAACAGCUGGACAACUAAGGAGGCAGGUCCCCUUAACUCAGGAUGGUUAGCACAGGCUUGUGAGCUGUUCGCAGUAUUGAGGGUAUUACAGUUGUUAAAAGAUAAGAGAGGAACAAUAUUUACAGAUUCUAAAUAUGCAUUUGGGGUGGUUCACACGUUCGGAAAAAUUUGGGAAGAGAGGGGACUGAUGAAUUCUCAGGGUAAAGGAUUAAUACAUGAGACCUUAGUAAAGCAAACUUUGGAGGCAUUAAGAGGGCCCAAACAAAUUGCGGUAGUUUAUGUAAAGGGCCAUCGGAAGGGAACCUCCACGCAAAUAAGAGGGAAUAAUUUAGCAGAUGAGGAAGCUAAGAAAGCUGCAUUGCUGGUAAUAAAAGAAAUGGGCAGCUGGAAUCAGCAGUUUCCAAAAAGUGUUAGAAUGGAAGAAUCCUUUUUGCACUCUUUUCUUAAUAUUAAGGACAUUCUUAAAACUAGUUAACACGUCAGUGUAUUAGUCUUUAAACUUCAAGGUAUUUUCGGGAGCUUUUACUUAAUAAGAAUAAAACUUUGUUAUUGUGCAAUAUUUGUUCAUUAGUUUAAAAAUUGUCACCUUUAAGAGUUGGUCCCAUAUAAAUGUAUCUUCUGUCAGGGAGUUUUAAAUUCCAGAUUUCUUUUUUUGUUACUUUGUAUUUUGAAAUCUGUUUUCCUAUGUGCUUGUACUCUGUGCCUUCAGCUUGUGCACUUUGCAACUUUAUAGACCAUAUUUUGUUACUGCAAAAUGUGUUCUUGAGGCAAAACUUGAUGUGAACAAACAUGCUGCAAAGUUGCACUUUUCUCUUGCUUUAAUGGGAGGUGAAUCUGAAAAAAAAAAAAAAAAAAAAAAAAAAAAAAGUCGAACCUAUCACCGUCCCUAAUAGUGACUUGGAAGUUUGCCCCCUUUUAUUUUACAUGUGUUUUAGUGUUCAGUGUGGGGACCAACUCUCGUAGAACCCCUUUCAUUGACUUUUCAGUGGCUUCCAUAAUCGCAAUAGAUUGAGGUGUGAAUUCCAGACUGAAUAAGAUACUAAGAUGUGUUUGAUGCUGUGCUAUGUAGAAAUAUUUGGGGCAAAUUCUUGGGUUUUGUAGGUCUGCAAAGUGCAUCUCUGGCAGCACGAACCAGACUUGCAGCUGGUUGAUCAGUGAACAGUGGCACCUGUCCAAGGUCACUUUGUGGCUCCUGUGCCGUUUCUCCUGUCCAGGGGACCGAGCAGAGUUGGGGGGGGAGGUGUUGUCCCUGCCGCAUAUGUUCUUUGUUUUUUUUUUUUUUUUCCUGUGUUGUGUGGUGAAGUCCCGCGGGCCCUUUUGUGCUUGUGUGGCUUCGUAAGAACUGUUAAAGCGAGGUCUGGUGGUAUAGAGACCACCUUUAGAUAUAGCAAUAAAUCGUAUCAAACCAGGAAAUCAAGUACUCAUAAAAACAUGGAGGGAAUCAUCACUAACCCGUCCUGGGAGGGACCUUUCCUUGUUUUACUCACCACAGAUAUCGCAGUCUGCACCGCGGAAAGAGGAUGGACACACGCUAGUCGAGUAAAAGGUCCUAUACUGCACACAGACUGGGAAGUCACCGGGAAACUGGAUGAGUUGAAGCUGACCUUCAAGAGGAAACAGACACGUGACGCAUAGCCCUGGAUACUAGGCUUUUUAUGGACAAUUGUAAGGAAUUACAUAAGUCGCACAUCGCAUGUCCUGUAUGUAAGCAAUGCAAUCCGUGGGUAUGUCGCGUGUGUCACGGGUGUGGGAUACAGCAAAAAAAAAAAAGUUUCCUUAUGUUGAACGAUGGUGUAAUGAGUGUUGGGAAAAAAAACCUUAGAUACCAUUAGGAUAUUAAUAAUCACUGAUAAGUCCAGACAUUUGGAAAAUAACCAAGAGGAAGUGUAAGAAGCGUUUUGGUAAGAAAAGAUACAGGAAGUGUUCCAAACCCUGUGAGGAUUCGGGACAGUGGCCAAACCCUUGUAUUUGAAAAUAGCCCUAUUGGGUUGAGUAUUGGAAAGUGGGUUGUGACAGAAUAAGGAGAGAAUUCAGGAGGCAGUCCCCUGAAGACUACAACUGCUGCCGAGAAGAAAACUUACCCGGCUACUCUGAAGCAACAGAGUAGGCCCAGGGCAAGGCAGAGGGGUAUCCUUGUGGGGAUUGGCAAGUGCCUCCGAAAACUCCUAAAAUAAAGCAGCUCCGUUAAGCAGAACAACCCUCAACAAAAUGAACCUCCACUGGCUCAUUUUCAGCCAACCAGGGGCCGGGUCGCUCUCCCUAAUCCUCCUUACCUUACCGGUAAUAAUAGCAACAAAGCAGGGGAGUUCUCACCAACCUUUUAAAUGGACCCUCUAUCGAUGGGAGGACCAAACGAUAAUACAACAACAGACCACAUCAGGGUCACCUUCUUUUACUGUAACCUUAUGCCAAUUAGUUCAGAUUGAGCCAUGCCUUAACAAAAUGGGGUUUUAUAUGUGCCCCAGCACAGGGCCCUCGUAUUGUAAUACUCCAGGACACUAUUACUGCUCUUACUGGGGGUGUGAAGUGAUUGCCUCAAGCUGGCCAAUUCCUCCGGCAAAUACUGAUAAGUUCUUAAAGGUUGGAUGGGGACCUGUAGGAUGCAUUCCUCCUUCAAACCAAGGCCGCCGACUAAAACUCUGUUAUCCUCGCAACCGAAACGAGCGGGACAGUGAUGGCGAGUAUAAAUAUAUAUUCCUUAACAUAACAAACCCUGAACAUAGUGGAUGGUUUGUUAGAAAAACCUGGGGAAUGCGAUAUUAUCAACUGGGUGCUGAUAGAGGAAGCAUGUUUCUCAUAAAGAAAGAAGAAGUUAAACCGACCCCUCGAGCGAUAGGUCCCAAUCCAGUAGUAAAAUCCCCUCCUCCUCUGGGUAGGGAGACAAAGACAGUAGAGAAGGAGAAUAUAAUAAUAAUAGAGGAAACUGUCACUGAAGCCUUGAAAUCUCUGAAUAUUGAAGCCCCGGAAUCUUUGAAUCCUCUAUGGGGAAUUAUCCUGGCUGCUUAUCAAACUCUAACUAUACGCAACCCAACUUAACCAUGGGUUGCUGGUUGUGUUAUGAUGUUAAUCCACCCUUUUAUGAAGCUAUAGGGGAUAAUCGUUGGUAUACCAUGAGCAAGGAGUCUGUGCCUAUUCAGUGUCCUUGGGAAAAGCAGAAAAGAGGGAUAACUAUGCAACAUGUAACUGGGACAGGGACUUGUAUAGGUAAAGUACCAAAUUCCAAGAGACCACUUUGUGGGAAUAUCGUACCGAGCCUUAACGAAACCACAGGAUAUAUUAUUCCCCCGAAUGGAACAAAAUGGAUAUGUUCCAGGACGGGAUUUACUCCGUGUGUGUCUUUAAAGGUGUUCAACAGUUCCCGAGAGUAUUGCAUGUUAGUUACCAUCAUCCCAAGGAUAUUGUAUCAUCAAGAAAAUGUAAUGUAUGAUAUUUGGGAUACAGGGCUCCAUUGUACCAAACGGGAACCCAUUACAGCCAUUACUAUAGCUACGUUGCUAGGGUUAGGGGUAGCCGGAGCAGGAACAGGGAUAGCUUCACUUGUUCAACAAAAUCAAGGAUUCAGUUCCUUGAAGACUGCGAUAGAUGAGGACCUAGAGAGAACUGAAAACUCCAUAACCGCCUUAGAGAGAUCUCUAACCUCGCUAUCUGAAGUGGUGUUGCAAAACAGGAGAGGGAUGGAUCUCCUUUUCUUACAGCAAGGUGGACUAUGCACAGUCUUGAAGGAAGAGUGUUGUUUUUAUGCAGAUCACACAGGGGUAGUCCGAGACUCGAUGGUAAAAUUAAGGGAGAGACUGGAACAGAGAAAAAGGGAAAGAGAAGCUACAAAAGGGUGGUACGAGUCUUGGUUUAUUCAGUCCCCGUGGCUAACUACAUUGCUAUCCACAAUAGCUGGACCCUUGAUGAUAUUAUUACUCACCCUAACCUUUGGACCCUGUAUCCUAAAUCGACUUAUUGGACUAGUUAAAAACCGUGUAGAGCGGGUACACCUUAUGUUGCUACAGAAACAUGGAACUGAUGAAGAAGCUGAAAUAACCUUACUAGCCCGAAAAGCGGUAACUCGAUUUGAUCAACAAAUAAAUGAGUAAAAAAAAAAAGGGGGGAAUUGUAAUAAGUGAUGGUCAAAAUUGUUAAUGUUGAACAAAUCGAGUAGGAUUCAAUUGUAUUAUGCAUAUUAUUGUAAGCAGUAACUGUGCUUGUGCGAGUUUGAUUAUGUUUUGUAGAACCUUGUAGUAGUAGUUAAAGACAAUGCCAUAAAUAACAGGACUACCAGGUGGUGCCAUAAAUAACAGGACUACCGGAUGGUGUCAUAAAUAACAGGACUCCCGGAUGGUACCACAGAUAAUAGGACUCCCAGAUGGUGUUACAGAUAACAAAGCGCUCGGAUGUUGCAACAGAUAACAAAAGUUCCAGAGACGGAAAUUCCCAGCACGUAAACGAAUGCACAACGUAUAUAAGCACAUACGAAAGGUUGAUUUGGUGUGCCUGUUGGCGGAACUGAGCUUCCCCCGGUCACCCAGCGCUGUUUUGCCUAAUUACCGCUUGCUAAAUAAAUUCGAUUGAUUGACUCAGAAUCGA